CCUACGGGAGGCAGCAGUGGGGAAUAUUGGACAAUGGGGGGAACCCUGAUCCAGCCAUGCCGCGUGUGUGAAGAAGGCCCUCGGGUUGUAAAGCACUUUCAGUGAGGAAGAACGCCUGGUGGUUAAUACCCAUCAGGAAAGACAUCACUCACAGAAGAAGCACCGGCUAACUCCGUGCCAGCAGCCGCGGUAAUACGGAGGGUGCGAGCGUUAAUCGGAAUUACUGGGCGUAAAGCGCGUGUAGGUGGCUUGAUAAGCCGGUUGUGAAAGCCCCGGGCUCAACCUGGGAACGGCAUCCGGAACUGUCAAGCUAGAGUGCAGGAGAGGAAGGUAGAAUUCCCGGUGUAGCGGUGAAAUGCGUAGAGAUCGGGAGGAAUACCAGUGGCGAAGGCGGCCUUCUGGACUGACACUGACACUGAGGUGCGAAAGCGUGGGUAGCAAACAGGAUUAGAUACCCUUGUAGUC
rnacentral:rRNA from 1 species